rnacentral:misc_RNA from 1 species
CCCAAGCUUAUGCAUCUCAUUGAUAAAUAUAAGAAGGGUUUUGAGAUUCAAUAUGAAGGGAAAUUCAAUUAAAAUCAAUGUCUAGACACUAUAUUAAAAUCAUUUCAUAACCAACCAGAUACAAGGUGAACAAAGUACCAAAACUGAAAAAAUUGAAGGGCAGAAAACAUUUAAGCCUUAUUCUUUGGCAUCAGCCCCAUUUGUUGUUGCAUCCAUAGGCUCAGCUUCUGUCGACUCCUCUGCUUUGUCACCCUUCUUAGCUUUCUUCUUCUUUCCACCACCUUUCUUCUUGGUCUUUGUACCCAAAGCUAACCACGCCUUGAUUUCAGGAUCAUCUAUUGUCUUGGUGGGCUGCAACUCCUGAAGAGGAUGAGAUGUGAUCCUGUCUGACCCAUUUGGCAUUAACAAAACUGUGAAUUUGAUAUGAGCAACUAGAUCACCAGGCUUCUCGUGAAGAACAGGAUAUGGCUGUAGAAGAUCAUGAUUCACACAUUCCACCAAUCCCAGUCUAGCUCUUUUCUCUUCCAAGGAUCUGGCAGUGAAUGGCAUGAUGGGAAAUUUCUGACUAAUUUCACUGAAAAUAAAUCUAGAAGCCUUCAUCUUCAAGUGAUAAUUCUUAUCAACAGCUCUCUUGUAAAUGGUAGUAUGCUUUUCAUCCAGCAGCUUAGGCUUGCCUUCACCUGUGCUUGUAACUAUGUCUAUUCCAUACACUUCGUUCUCCUCAAAUUCUGCAUCAUCGACUCGUGUAUCUGGAUUGGAGAUGCUCAAUAUAACUUUGUUCCCAUCUAUCACAAACUGCUUUAGCUGGUGGCUAAGAACACCUUCAACGAUUUUGCAGUCAUAAGCAGCAGCAACCUUCUGAAUUGCGUCUGUCACAUCUUUGUUCUUCUUUCCUGGCCUUACAAGCCUUAAGGCAACUUCAGCAGCAGUAUUUGCUGCUGCAAUAACAUCAGCUGCCCUGCCAGUAACUGGUCCUGCUUGAAGAACAUGGGUGUGUGCCACUACAGCAAUGAACCCAUCUAUAUGGCAUCCCAUAUCAAUCUUCACCAUAUCGCCUUCUUCCAACACUGUCUCAUCGCUAGCAAGAGCAGAGAAAUGACAAACAGUGUUGUUUACAGAAAUGCAAGUAGGAAAGGCAACUCCUCUUUCAAUUUUCUUCUUCACAUUCUUGUACAUGUUACCUGUUUGCCUUUACACACAAACAGCACUGACCCAUAAAUAUUUUGCUUAUAAUCAAUACCAAAGAAACCCAUUUAUGUAAAAAGCAUACUCCCAUUAGCAUAGAUUGGGGCUUACUCCCUGAUAUAUGUAUCUCCCUUCUCACAAAUGUCAACAAUCUUAGCUUUCGGUUUGCAUUCUGAUACUACCAACUGCAACGCCUCUGUAAAAGUUCUCACCUUUCAGCGCAAACUCGAUGCCAAAUGAAACCCAAUUCAAUGGAACACAGAAGUAUCCAGUAAACUAGCUCAAAAUACUAACAGUGGCUAAACAUCAAAGAAAGUCAACAUUUGUGCACCAUGAAAAGAGAAAACCAAUGUAUAAUUGCACAUACACGUACACACAUAUAAUGCAGAUUGCAGAAUGAGUAAUAUCUAUAUACAUGUACAUUAAGAGAUAGAGAUAUUACUAUUGACGAUCUCAGCCGCGCUCUUGUAUUUGGUGACUACUUCAGGAGAAGUGAGAUCCAACUCUUUCUCCUCUCUUUCAUCGUCCGACAUCGUUUCACAGCUUUGAUAACUUUCAACACUCCUAAUCACCAGGAAUACGACUUCGAGUCAAUUAAAAAGCAACAAUAGAGCAUUAAAGGGCUAAAACGAUACCGAAAACGAAAUAAUUUGAUCGGAGAAGAAGCAGAACCCACAGAAAACUUGGCGGCGAGUAUAAGUUAACUGCUAGGGUUUAGCAGAGAUAAGAUAGAGUGAAGCAAAGCAGAGUAUAUGAGGACGAGGUGGCUCACUGGACUGCUAG